rnacentral:lncRNA from 1 species
UCCGAACCAAAAAUUUUUGAAAACUAAACAAAGCCUUAGGAAAAAAGCCGCAUAUAGACUGUGGCAGAACCACCCUAAUUAUAUGGCCCACAUGCACUUGACAUUGUCCUUAAGACCUCUGACUACUGCACAUGAGAGUCAUAUAACUUGGAUAGUCUGUCGGGUGCCCUCGGAGGACCCCGAAUCAUCCACAUUUUAACUCGUACAGGAUCAACAUGGAGUUACCACAACAUUACAACAUUUGUUACAAAAAUAACUUACAUCAGAGUGCGGAAGAUUUAUAACUUAAUUUACAACAUAUGAUGAAGUAUAAACUUAACUAAAUUUCCAAAAGGUGUAUAGAGUAGCGGAAGCAUCUUAGGUGAAGCUUCUAAGGUAGAAGAGGUGGAUAAAUCAUGUCGCGCCCACCGACAUGACCUCCAUUAGCAGACUAAGUCAGCACCUGCAACAGGGGUUAUAAAACCCUGAGUACAAAAGUACUCAACAAGACUUAACCGACUAGAAAAGAGGUGAAGACUCAGGUAUGCAGGCUAUAGGGAUUCAAGGUAAAGCUUUAUCAAGAUAAAGCAUUUCUUUUGCAUAAAAGCUUACUAAGAUUAAACCUACUUUCAAGUUUUAACUCAAGGUUAUCAUUUAUGACUAACCAAAACUAUUAUCAAACUUGCAUAAGCAUACCACAUCUUUCUUAUACCAAAGAUUCACUUGUUACUACGAUGAUGGUGUGAGGAUUGAGGCUCCAUAUCCGAGGAAACACGGCGAUUCGAAUCGAUUAAACCCAGCUGAGGAUUCAGUACCACACGACAUAUGUAGAACUUAAUCUUGCAUAUGUCAACCUGUUUCUAUAGAUCCUCCCAUACAAGAACGGGUCCAGCGUCACCCGAGAGUACAGUACACCACCAUCCUACAGCCAAUCUAGAUGUUUCCCGGUCAUCUCAGAUCCGUAAGGUGGGUACACGCUACUCUCGCCAUCUCUCCACUCCCAGUACGCGGUUAGCCGUUCUCGAGUAUCGGAAUAGCUAUAGGUAAGGCUUACCGCCGCAUGUGGGCUGUACUCAAAGGUCUCAAUCACAACAGGCCAAUCAACGGUACGGUCCUUAAUCGACUCAGUUGGAGACACUACUUUAAGACUCCAUUCUUAAAGCAAGUCCACCGACCGGUCUCAAGUUGAACAUUAUUGACCUUAAAAGUAUUCCACAACAACCCUUCAAACUUUCUCAUUUGAAAACCUAUCUCAUAAGCAGGGCUAAGCAUACUAAGCAUUUUCAUAAAGCGAGUACCAAGGUUAAUAUUGAAAUCAUCAAGGUAGAUAAUGCAGCAAAUAGGAUUCACUCAACUCCUAUUCACCUAAUGCAUCAUAUUAACUCAAGUGAUAUAAAUACUUUAUGAAAAUACAAGGAUAGGGUUUAAUGUCCGGGGCUUGCCUUGGCCGGAAGGGAAGUCCGACAACUCAGCAAAACCAGAUGGAUCCACAAACUCGGAAGCAACCCACUGAGGAUUAGAUUCCUCCGGAGCGUAGUCUACACGUAGAGUUGCAUAUGCAUGAUCAAUGAGAUGUUCAUGACAUGAUAAAGACAGGUUACAAGUUCUUGGAUGAUAACAACAAACAUAACUACCUCGAGUACAACUUACCUUCACGGUAUAGAAAUAAACUAACUUAGCUAUCAAAACAUAGAUUACUACUAAGCAAAUUUUAUCAUUUUCAUGAAGCAAGGCUGUAUAGAUAUCAGGCAACAAAGAUCAUUUAUAUGAAAUAAUCCAUAACCAGGGAGCAUAUCAUGCCAAGUACCCACUGGUUAUCAAUCAAUCCUAAAGAUCAAUCAAAACCUAAUAUGAUUAGGCUUUCUAUUUAUCUUAAUCAAUCCUUAAUUAAAUAUUAAUGGCAGUAAUUAAGUAUUAACAUCAAACAAUAAUUAAGUGCCAAAGGUCAUUGAAAGAUAAUGACCUCAGGUCAUCACCCAAUCCCAAAAGCACUCAAAUUCUAAUUUGGAAAUUAAGCAACUCAUUAUUUAAGUAAAGGCUAGCUAAAAACAAACAACUCUAUUUGCACACAUAACCAGGACAGCAGCAUAUACACAACUUCAUUCAACCAUAAUUAGAGAUCCAAACAUCCAAUAAAGGUGAUAUUAGACUUUCUGGAAAGCUUAUAUAAUUUUCUACAACUUUGUUAUUAUCUUCGAGAACUGAUUUAAUAGAUAACAUGGCCAAACAUUAUGAAUAAACAAUUUUGUCCAGACCUUGGACAGAAUCAGACAUUAAGCUUCAUACAUCUAUAACCAGAGUUCUAGAUCACCAAAAGUCAUGAUCCAUAACAUUUUGGAAAGCUUAUGAAAAUUACUACAAUUCAUCUUUUAUCAUGAAAGCAUGAUUCAUAAGUUUAGUAGGUUGAAAUUGCACAACUACAGAAACUGAUCCAGGAUUUGACAGAAAGAAACCAUUUCUGAAACUUAAAUUUAAACAGACAUCACUCAGAAACUAUAGGGCCAAAUGCCACCAAAAUUUAACACCAGCUAGAUACAUGAAUUCUAUACAACUUUGUUAUAGACAAGUUUCAUAUCCAACAUUAUUUACCUAGAGCAAUUCAUAAGGUUCCAGAAACUGUCCAGAAAUCACUAAUAAUUUAAUUAUAGACAAAUAACAUUUCAUUUAUGUUUCAAACUUGGACCUGGGCAAAACCCAGCUCACCAAUAGUUGAAAUACAUCAAAGAGAUACUAGAAAAUAUCAUGGUCAUCCCUAAAUAAAUUCUUUUUAUGUCUUUAUUAAUUUAUUUAGAUAAACAGACAAAGUAAUAACCAUAUAUCAAAAGUACACAAUAAAAUCUGAGAAAACUACAGAAGCACAUAUAUGCUCUCCAAAGUCUACUGUAUAAAUUUCAUACCAUUUGUAUAAGUAUAGCAAUUUCCAUGAAAAAGAUAAAUUUCCAUCACAAGAAAGCAUGUAGCAUCAAGAUAAAUAAGAAACUCGACAUUUUCUACAAACACAUAGCUAAAUUAUGUAUCUGUAUGAUAUAAAGACCUCAUAUAAAGGCAGUGGAACCAUAUUUUACAUUUAUUUAUUUUUAGUUUAAUUUUAAACUAUUUAAUAAGCAUUAAACAAGAUAAAUUAAUAACUUAACCAUAUAUCAUCUACUGAACAUGAAAUUUUUACUGCAACAUUCACAUAACAUCAUGAGAACACCAUAAAAAUUUCAGGGCAAUAGGAUCUAUACAGAAUAAGAUAUGAAUUUCUCCUUUUUAAACAUAAUUAAAAGGCAUAAAUCAUAACCAAUUAUUUUACUACAAAACAUGGUCAGUUUCAUAUUUUUAAUAAAAACUAGACAUCUCAAGGAGCACAACAAAAUUUGGUUCACCAAAAUUGGAGCUACCAAACUCUAGAUAUGAAUUUUCAAACAUUCAACAAAACAUCUACAAACAAGUCCUUAUAGCACUAUUCACCUGAGUCACAGUCUCUGCAAUUAGACCCCUGGGAAACAUCAAAUUGUCGCCCGAAGUCCCUGGCCGCGACUGAAAACAGAGGAACUCGCCGGAGAUCGUGGUUUCGGCGCUGGAGUGCUCGUCGGCGGCAUUGGAGCAGCGGGGAAGCUCGCCCGGACUAGUGCGCACCUGAUGGUGGCCGUAGCUUGUCCUGCAAUGGCUCGAGGUGGCCUGUCCACGUUGAGGUGCUCCUCGGCGGCGUUUUCAGCCGGAGCUGAGGAAGAAAGACGGCGCCCGGGCGAUUGAGAGGGGCAGGGAGGGUUCCUGGGCGUACACGGGGUUCGCAAGGAUAUGGCGAAGGUGUUGGAGAACUCGAAUUGGCCAGAGGGGUUGCGUGUAGAGGGUAUUGGACGGUGGAGCUUCACUGGGUGCUUUCGGUCGCCGGAGUAAGUGAGCUCGAGGUCGGCCGCGCAGGCGCUCAAGAGGUCGAGACGCAGAGGUCACGGGCGUCCACGUCGCGCGGUGACGCGGCCGGCAAGCAGCUGCGUGGCGGCGAGGCGCGCACGCGGCGCUGCACGGCCUGCGGCCGCGCGGUGACUGGACUCGUGAUCCAUAUCCGGAUACUGUAGCAAGCUUUAUCCAACCAGUUUUGUGGUUUUGCAAAAUUCGUCCAAAAUUUGAACUGAAGACAAAAUUCCACCAAAACAAAAGUUAUUCAGAAUUUUACAAACUACAAAUCUUCUUUUGGUGACCAAAGCCAAUUCUGGGUGGAAAAUGACGAAUUUGACAAAACAGUUUGAAUUUCAAAUCCCAAAUUGGGGAAAUUCCAAAUUUUGAAUUGGAGCAGAUUAGAAUUUCCAAAAUUACUUUUAAUUUUUCCAAACAACUUGAAAAACUCCCAACAUGAAAGUUGUUCAACUUUUUGAGCCCUACAACUUUCAUGUUGACCACUUUUCAAAAUUCCAAAUAGAUUUUGAAUUGGGGAUUCAAAUCGGAAAAGGGAACAAUUUCGGGAAAAUUGUAUUUUCAAAAUUACUUUAAAUUUUGUACUGAAACUUCAAAAACUCAAAACACCAAAGUUGUACAUCUUGACAAGAUCUACAACUUUGCUUUUGAACUCAACUUCAAAUUUUGCUUUGUUUUUUGAAUUGCACAAAAGGGGCAAAUCUAGGUUUUUGAAAUUAGGGUUUCCCCCCUUAAGUCUUUCGGAAAAACUUUCACCCAGGGUUUUAAUCACCAACACAAACAUCCAUACACAAUAUAAGCACACUUUAAUUUCCUAAGCACAAUCAACCAAAAUAACCUUAUUUUAAGUGGAUGCAUAAUAAUGUGCUUAACAAAUAUGCUUUGCAAUGCUUAUGAUGACAUGAUCCAGUUUUAGUGUUUGUAACAUCAGGGAUGUUACAGCCCUUCCCCCUUAAAGAAAUCUCGUCCCGAGAUUUCCAGGGUACUAAAACCCAUGGGGUUAAGUAAUGGAAAAGGAAAUGUGUCAAGCACAUUAACUUUUGAGAAGUUCAUACAACAAUUACGAUUGGUCCGAGAAUUACAACUAAGAUCAACAAGAAGUUGUAAUCAAUCAGGAAUUUUAGAGAAUUCAUACGAAGAUAUGAAUCUCCAAAUGAGCUUCCAAGGAGGAUGAAAGCACACUAACAGUAGAUUAUAGUGGAGCAUGACCAGAGAUCCCGAUGUUUAACGAGGACCCUGUAGUAUUUCCUUAUGGCUGCAGUCCACAGGAGACUACAAGGCUCGACGUUAUAACGUGAUCACGGAUCAUGAUACCUACUAUAGAGUACGGUUACAAUAGCUUUCAAUGACCUAUGUUGGUUAUCCAAGUCAGGGGCUUUAGGUAAUUCCAAAGAGAUAUGGGCAUGGAUUCCCAUAAUAUGAUCCAAAGAGUGAGGUCACCUAAGUUGUGGGUCUAUAAGGGAUCAUGAUCAUAGACUUUGAUAACAGCGAGCGCCCAGCAGUAUUUCCUUAUGGUCGCGAGCCAUAGGAGACCCCAGGUUUCGGCGCUGUUACCUAAGUUAUGGGUCAUGGUACCUUAAGAGGACACAAUCAUAGUGACAUUCAAUCAACAGAAAUGUUGACAAAUGACAUCAAGGAGGUAGCAUGUGUCCGAAUUAGAUGAAAUCAAGGAAGGUCACAUGCAUAACAAAUGAAUCAAGGAUUAGGAUCUUAUGGAGUAAAAGAUUAUCAAUCAGUUAACGAAACCUGGUACAUGAUGAGAUUCAUCAAUAAAACAGCUAUAACGAAUAAUAACUGUUUUUGAAGCAUAAGGAGGGGCUUUUAAGUAUCAUUAUAUUGUCAUGUUAUGCAUGAUAUGCAAUAUGCUCGCCUAUACGUCUUUACAACGUUAGCUAGGAGGUAACUACUUAUAUAGGGCAUACUUUAUACAUUAUCUUUAUUGCUCUGGACGGAAUGUUGCAAGACUUUUGACAAAGCAUUGUUGGAGUAGUUUGAUUCUUCACUCGGCUUGUUGAAGAAAAAUUGAAGUCCCUUUCAAUGCCUUCUAUUUGAGUCGACAGAAAGUCUUCGUAGAACGGGGACAGCAAGCAUAAGAAAAGUUAAGGAGCAUUUAUAAGUCGUUAUCCUCAAAAACUUUUAAUUUGUAAAUUCCUUUUGAAGUUUUUCACAAGUAAUGUUGCAGAAGAUCCAUGUAUGAGCUCUGAUACCAGCUGUGGCAGAACCACCCUAAUUAUAUGGCCCACAUGCACUUGACAUUGUCCUUAAGACCUCUGACUACUGCACAUGAGAGUCAUAUAACUUGGAUAGUCUGUCGGGUGCCCUCGGAGGACCCCGAAUCAUCCACAUUUUAACUCGUACAGGAUCAACAUGGAGUUACCACAACAUUACAACAUUUGUUACAAAAAUAACUUACAUCAGAGUGCGGAAGAUUUAUAACUUAAUUUACAACAUAUGAUGAAGUAUAAACUUAACUAAAUUUCCAAAAGGUGUAUAGAGUAGCGGAAGCAUCUUAGGUGAAGCUUCUAAGGUAGAAGAGGUGGAUAAAUCAUGUCGCGCCCACCGACAUGACCUCCAUUAGCAGACUAAGUCAGCACCUGCAACAGGGGUUAUAAAACCCUGAGUACAAAAGUACUCAACAAGACUUAACCGACUAGAAAAGAGGUGAAGACUCAGGUAUGCAGGCUAUAGGGAUUCAAGGUAAAGCUUUAUCAAGAUAAAGCAUUUCUUUUGCAUAAAAGCUUACUAAGAUUAAACCUACUUUCAAGUUUUAACUCAAGGUUAUCAUUUAUGACUAACCAAAACUAUUAUCAAACUUGCAUAAGCAUACCACAUCUUUCUUAUACCAAAGAUUCACUUGUUACUACGAUGAUGGUGUGAGGAUUGAGGCUCCAUAUCCGAGGAAACACGGCGAUUCGAAUCGAUUAAACCCAGCUGAGGAUUCAGUACCACACGACAUAUGUAGAACUUAAUCUUGCAUAUGUCAACCUGUUUCUAUAGAUCCUCCCAUACAAGAACGGGUCCAGCGUCACCCGAGAGUACAGUACACCACCAUUCUACAGCCAAUCUAGAUGUUUCCCGGUCAUCUCAGAUCCGUAAGGUGGGUACACGCUACUCUCGCCAUCUCUCCACUCCCAGUACGCGGUUAGCCGUUCUCGAGUAUCGGAAUAGCUAUAGGUAAGGCUUACCGCCGCAUGUGGGCUGUACUCAAAGGUCUCAAUCACAACAGGCCAAUCAACGGUACGGUCCUUAAUCGACUCAGUUGGAGACACUACUUUAAGACUCCAUUCUUAAAGCAAGUCCACCGACCGGUCUCAAGUUGAACAUUAUUGACCUUAAAAGUAUUCCACAACAACCCUUCAAACUUUCUCAUUUGAAAACCUAUCUCAUAAGCAGGGCUAAGCAUACUAAGCAUUUUCAUAAAGCGAGUACCAAGGUUAAUAUUGAAAUCAUCAAGGUAGAUAAUGCAGCAAAUAGGAUUCACUCAACUCCUAUUCACCUAAUGCAUCAUAUUAACUCAAGUGAUAUAAAUACUUUAUGAAAAUACAAGGAUAGGGUUUAAUGUCCGGGGCUUGCCUUGGCCGGAAGGGAAGUCCGACAACUCAGCAAAACCAGAUGGAUCCACAAACUCGGAAGCAACCCACUGAGGAUUAGAUUCCUCCGGAGCGUAGUCUACACGUAGAGUUGCAUAUGCAUGAUCAAUGAGAUGUUCAUGACAUGAUAAAGACAGGUUACAAGUUCUUGGAUGAUAACAACAAACAUAACUACCUCGAGUACAACUUACCUUCACGGUAUAGAAAUAAACUAACUUAGCUAUCAAAACAUAGAUUACUACUAAGCAAAUUUUAUCAUUUUCAUGAAGCAAGGCUGUAUAGAUAUCAGGCAACAAAGAUCAUUUAUAUGAAAUAAUCCAUAACCAGGGAGCAUAUCAUGCCAAGUACCCACUGGUUAUCAAUCAAUCCUAAAGAUCAAUCAAAACCUAAUAUGAUUAGGCUUUCUAUUUAUCUUAAUCAAUCCUUAAUUAAAUAUUAAUGGCAGUAAUUAAGUAUUAACAUCAAACAAUAAUUAAGUGCCAAAGGUCAUUGAAAGAUAAUGACCUCAGGUCAUCACCCAAUCCCAAAAGCACUCAAAUUCUAAUUUGGAAAUUAAGCAACUCAUUAUUUAAGUAAAGGCUAGCUAAAAACAAACAACUCUAUUUGCACACAUAACCAGGACAGCAGCAUAUACACAACUUCAUUCAACCAUAAUUAGAGAUCCAAACAUCCAAUAAAGGUGAUAUUAGACUUUCUGGAAAGCUUAUAUAAUUUUCUACAACUUUGUUAUUAUCUUCGAGAACUGAUUUAAUAGAUAACAUGGCCAAACAUUAUGAAUAAACAAUUUUGUCCAGACCUUGGACAGAAUCAGACAUUAAGCUUCAUACAUCUAUAACCAGAGUUCUAGAUCACCAAAAGUCAUGAUCCAUAACAUUUUGGAAAGCUUAUGAAAAUUACUACAAUUCAUCUUUUAUCAUGAAAGCAUGAUUCAUAAGUUUAGUAGGUUGAAAUUGCACAACUACAGAAACUGAUCCAGGAUUUGACAGAAAGAAACCAUUUCUGAAACUUAAAUUUAAACAGACAUCACUCAGAAACUAUAGGGCCAAAUGCCACCAAAAUUUAACACCAGCUAGAUACAUGAAUUCUAUACAACUUUGUUAUAGACAAGUUUCAUAUCCAACAUUAUUUACCUAGAGCAAUUCAUAAGGUUCCAGAAACUGUCCAGAAAUCACUAAUAAUUUAAUUAUAGACAAAUAACAUUUCAUUUAUGUUUCAAACUUGGACCUGGGCAAAACCCAGCUCACCAAUAGUUGAAAUACAUCAAAGAGAUACUAGAAAAUAUCAUGGUCAUCCCUAAAUAAAUUCUUUUUAUGUCUUUAUUAAUUUAUUUAGAUAAACAGACAAAGUAAUAACCAUAUAUCAAAAGUACACAAUAAAAUCUGAGAAAACUACAGAAGCACAUAUAUGCUCUCCAAAGUCUACUGUAUAAAUUUCAUACCAUUUGUAUAAGUAUAGCAAUUUCCAUGAAAAAGAUAAAUUUCCAUCACAAGAAAGCAUGUAGCAUCAAGAUAAAUAAGAAACUCGACAUUUUCUACAAACACAUAGCUAAAUUAUGUAUCUGUAUGAUAUAAAGACCUCAUAUAAAGGCAGUGGAACCAUAUUUUACAUUUAUUUAUUUUUAGUUUAAUUUUAAACUAUUUAAUAAGCAUUAAACAAGAUAAAUUAAUAACUUAACCAUAUAUCAUCUACUGAACAUGAAAUUUUUACUGCAACAUUCACAUAACAUCAUGAGAACACCAUAAAAAUUUCAGGGCAAUAGGAUCUAUACAGAAUAAGAUAUGAAUUUCUCCUUUUUAAACAUAAUUAAAAGGCAUAAAUCAUAACCAAUUAUUUUACUACAAAACAUGGUCAGUUUCAUAUUUUUAAUAAAAACUAGACAUCUCAAGGAGCACAACAAAAUUUGGUUCACCAAAAUUGGAGCUACCAAACUCUAGAUAUGAAUUUUCAAACAUUCAACAAAACAUCUACAAACAAGUCCUUAUAGCACUAUUCACCUGAGUCACAGUCUCUGCAAUUAGACCCCUGGGAAACAUCAAAUUGUCGCCCGAAGUCCCUGGCCGCGACUGAAAACAGAGGAACUCGCCGGAGAUCGUGGUUUCGGCGCUGGAGUGCUCGUCGGCGGCAUUGGAGCAGCGGGGAAGCUCGCCCGGACUAGUGCGCACCUGAUGGUGGCCGUAGCUUGUCCUGCAAUGGCUCGAGGUGGCCUGUCCACGUUGAGGUGCUCCUCGGCGGCGUUUUCAGCCGGAGCUGAGGAAGAAAGACGGCGCCCGGGCGAUUGAGAGGGGCAGGGAGGGUUCCUGGGCGUACACGGGGUUCGCAAGGAUAUGGCGAAGGUGUUGGAGAACUCGAAUUGGCCAGAGGGGUUGCGUGUAGAGGGUAUUGGACGGUGGAGCUUCACUGGGUGCUUUCGGUCGCCGGAGUAAGUGAGCUCGAGGUCGGCCGCGCAGGCGCUCAAGAGGUCGAGACGCAGAGGUCACGGGCGUCCACGUCGCGCGGUGACGCGGCCGGCAAGCAGCUGCGUGGCGGCGAGGCGCGCACGCGGCGCUGCACGGCCUGCGGCCGCGCGGUGACUGGACUCGUGAUCCAUAUCCGGAUACUGUAGCAAGC